UUUCCGUAGGUGAACCUGCGGAAGGAUCAUUAUAGAAUGAACCCCCCGCCUAAGGCUAAUGCUGAAGGUGGGGUCCUCUUUUUAAACCCGUGUAAUUAGUGAAGUCUGAGCAAUAUUUAUGAAAUAGUCAAAACUUUCAACAACGGAUCUCUUGGUUCUG
rnacentral:misc_RNA from 1 species